rnacentral:rRNA from 1 species
GACGUAGGGGGCGAGCGUUGUCCGGAAUCAUUGGGCGUAAAGAGCGUGUAGGCGGUUCGGUAAGUCCGCCGUGAAAACCUGGGGCUCAACCCCGGGCGUGCGGUGGAUACUGCCGGACUAGAGGGUGGUAGAGGCGAGUGGAAUUCCCGGUGUAGCGGUGAAAUGCGCAGAUAUCGGGAGGAACACCAGUAGCGAAGGCGGCUCGCUGGGCCAUUCCUGACGCUCAUGCACGAAAGCGUGGGGAGCAAACAGG